rnacentral:rRNA from 1 species
UACGGAGGAUGCAAGCGUUAUCCGGAAUGAUUGGGCGUAAAGCGUCCGCAGGUGGCUGUGUAAGUCUGCUGUCAAAGAGCAAAGCUCAACUUUGUAAAGGCAGUGGAAACUACACGGCUAGAGUGCGUUCGGGGCAGAGGGAAUUCCUGGUGUAGCGGCGAAAUGCGUAGAGAUCAGGAAGAACACCGGUGGCGAAGGCGCUCUGCUAGGCCGCAACUGACACUGAGGGACGAAAGCUAGGGGAGCGAACAGG